rnacentral:rRNA from 1 species
UCGAGCGGAGCUUAUCCUUCGGGGUAAGCUUAGCGGCGGACGGGUGAGUAACACGUAGGCAACCUACCCUCUAGACUGGGAUAACUACCGGAAACGGUAGCUAAUACCGGAUAAUUCCUUGACCCACCUGGGUUUGGGAUGAAAGGCGGAGCAAUCUGCUGCUAGAGGAUGGGCCUGCGGCGCAUUAGCUAGUUGGUGGGGUAACGGCCUACCAAGGCGACGAUGCGUAGCCGACCUGAGAGGGUGAACGGCCACACUGGGACUGAGACACGGCCCAGACUCCUACGGGAGGCAGCAGUAGGGAAUCUUCCGCAAUGGGCGAAAGCCUGACGGAGCAACGCCGCGUGAGUGAUGAAGGUUUUCGGAUCGUAAAGCUCUGUUGCCAGGGAAGAACGUCCGGUAGAGUAACUGCUGCCGGAGUGACGGUACCUGAGAAGAAAGCCCCGGCUAACUACGUGCCAGCAGCCGCGGUAAUACGUAGGGGGCAAGCGUUGUCCGGAAUUAUUGGGCGUAAAGCGCGCGCAGGCGGCUGCUUAAGUCUGGUGUUUAAACCUUGGGCUCAACCUGGGGUCGCACUGGAAACUGGGCAGCUUGAGUACAGAAGAGGAAAGUGGAAUUCCACGUGUAGCGGUGAAAUGCGUAGAGAUGUGGAGGAACACCAGUGGCGAAAGCGACUUUCUGGGCUGUAACUGACGCUGAGCGCGAAAGCGUGGGGAGCAAACAGAUUAGAUACCCUGGUAGUCCACGCCCGUAAACGAUGAGUGCUAGUGUUAUGGGGUGUCGAUACCCUUGGUGCCGAAGUUAACACAGUA